UACGUAGGGUGCAAGCGUUGUCCGGAAUUAUUGGGCGUAAAGAGCUCGUAGGCGGUCUGUCGCGUCUGCCGUGAAAACUCGGGGCUUAACCCCGGGCCUGCAGUGGGUACGGGCAGACUAGAGUGCGGUAGGGGAGACUGGAAUUCCUGGUGUAGCGGUGAAAUGCGCAGAUAUCAGGAGGAACACCGGUGGCGAAGGCGGCACUCUGGGCCGGAACUGACGCUGAGGAGCGAAAGCAUGGGGAGCGAACAGG
rnacentral:rRNA from 1 species